rnacentral:rRNA from 1 species
AGGACGAACGCUGGCGGCGUGCUUAACACAUGCAAGUCGAGCGGAAAGGCCCUUCGGGGUACUCGAGCGGCGAACGGGUGAGUAACACGUGAGUAAUCUGCCCCUAGCUCUGGGAUAGCUCCGGGAAACCGGGAUUAAUACCGGAUAUGACCACUUUAGACAUCUGUUGUGGUGGAAAGAAUUUCGGCUAGGGAUGAGCUCGCGGCCUAUCAGCUUGUUGGUGGGGUAACGGCCUACCAAGGCGACGACGGGUAGCCGGCCUGAGAGGGCGACCGGCCACGACUGGGACUGAGACACGGCCCAGACUCCUACGGGAGGCAGCAGUGGGGAAUAUUGCGCAAUGGGCGAAAAGCCUGACGCAGCGACGCCGCGUGGGGGAUGAAGGCCUUCGGGUUGUAAACCCCGUUUCAGCGAGGGACGAAGCGAAAGUGACGGUACCUGCAGAAGAAGCGCCGGCUAACUACGUGUCAGCAGCCGC